rnacentral:rRNA from 1 species
CAGCCGCCGCGGGAAUACAGAGGGUGCGAGCGUUAAUCGGAUUUACUGGGCGUAAAGCGUGCGUAGGCGGCUAAUUGAGUCGGAUGUGAAAUCCCCGAGCUUAACUUGGGAAUUGCAUUUGAUACUGGUUAGCUAGAGUGUGGGAGAGGAUGGUAGAAUUCCAGGUGUAGCGGUGAAAUGCGUAGAGAUCUGGAGGAAUACCGAUGGCGAAGGCAGCCAUCUGGCCUAACACUGACGCUGAGGUACGAAAGCAUGGGGAGCAAACAGGAUUAGAUACCCCAGUAGUCCCUGUCUCUUAUAC